GGAAAAUUCUUUGUGUUGUUGUUGAUCAUGUUUUUUAAAUAGUAACGACAAAACUGUGUUAUGAAAAGCAUCAGUGCAUUUGACAGAUUUUAAAUAAACUGAUUCUCCAAUUUAGUAUAUAAAGGAAAACUGUAGAGACUUGCUAUUAAUGUGAUUUAGUAAAAAGGGAACAAAUCAAUCAAAGGAAGAGCUAAAGGAACGUGAAAGCUCUGUGAUGGAGAACUGUUUAAAACGUCGUGACAUGGACAGUGACCUGGAGGAAACGGGUGAUAGUGACUUUGAAAAUGACCUUGAAACAAGUCUUUUAACCGCAGAAAAAAACCGGCACCAGCAGGGUGAUGCCGGUGGACUAGUCAGUCCGUACAAGCGUCUGAAAGUGGAGGAUUUGACUCAGUCGUCUGCUGACUGGGCCUCAGGGCAGGGGGAGGCUCAUAGUCUGCUGAAAUCUUUGGACCACAAUCACAGCCCAGCAA